rnacentral:rRNA from 1 species
GAUGAACGCUGGCGGCGUGCCUAAUACAUGCAAGUCGAGCGAACAGAUGAGGAGCUUGCUCCUCUGACGUUAGCGGCGGACGGGUGAGUAACACGUGGAUAACCUACCUAUAAGACUGGGAUAACUUCGGGAAACCGGAGCUAAUACCGGAUAAUAUAUUGAACCGCAUGGUUCAAUAGUGAAAGACGGUUUUGCUGUCACUUAUAGAUGGAUCCGCGCCGCAUUAGCUAGUUGGUAAGGUAACGGCUUACCAAGGCGACGAUGCGUAGCCGACCUGAGAGGGUGAUCGGCCACACUGGAACUGAGACACGGUCCAGACUCCUACGGGAGGCAGCAGUAGGGAAUCUUCCGCAAUGGGCGAAAGCCUGACGGAGCAACGCCGCGUGAGUGAUGAAGGUCUUCGGAUCGUAAAACUCUGUUAUUAGGGAAGAACAAAUGUGUAAGUAACUAUGCACGUCUUGACGGUACCUAAUCAGAAAGCCACGGCUGACUACGUG